UACUACUCACCUAUUGGAAUGUCCGUUAUAUGCUCGAUAAAAUGCCUAAGAGAAGGCGUGCGUCGUUUUAUCUCUAAUUUUGAUCCCAUUCGAUUAUAAUUGUAAAAAUUGUUUUAUAUAUGUAUUAAACCCUCUGUUUGAAUAUUAAAAUCUUUGUUUAUUAUUUAAAUUCCCGUUCAUGUUAUCUUCUUGGAAUAAUUUAAAUUCUUCAAAAACUCCUUCAUCCUUUUGAUCGCUAUUGGAGGUUCGUCGAAUUUAUUGUUCUAAAUCCCUUUGUGCUCCAUCCCGACCUAUUUGCAUACCUUUAUAUCCCCUUUUGCAUGCUCAUUUUGGUUAGCUUAUAGAGAAUCGCGUGUCUCUAUUUUUAGGUCCCGACGAUUGAAUUUCUGUACAGUUUCGACUAGAUAGUUUCUAUCUUUGAAGCUACAUUAAGGUAAGCGACCGGAUACCCGUUAGUUUUUGUAAAAUAAUUUAGAAAAUACUUUGGUUGUGUGAAAAUUCUUAUUUUGUAGAUUUCAAAAUUAAGGGUUAAGCGUAUAUUAAAUAUUUCCGUAAACUGAGUUUCAACUGUGAUUGAAAUGUUCUUUUAACAAAAGAAUUUCGAAAUUUGAUUAAUUAUUCUGUAAGUUAGUGACUGGAUAAUUUUAAAUUAAAAUGUCUCUUGGUAUUCUGCUAUGCUAAUGUUGG
rnacentral:lncRNA from 1 species